rnacentral:rRNA from 1 species
UACGUAGGGUGCAAGCGUUGUCCGGAAUUAUUGGGCGUAAAGAGCGUGUAGGCGGCUAGGUAGGUCCGUUGUGAAAACUCGAGGCUCAACCUCGAGACGUCGAUGGAAACCAUCUAGCUAGAGUCCGGAAGAGGAGAGUGGAAUUCCUGGUGUAGCGGUGAAGUGCGCAGAUAUCAGGAAGAACACCCGUGGCGAAGGCGGCUCUCUGGUACGUGACUGACGCUGAGACGCGAAAGCGUGGGGAGCAAACAGG